UCAGGACGAACGCUGGCGGCGUGCCUAACACAUGCAAGUCGAGCGGGGACAUGCGACGGAGACAAAGUACUCGUACGGAGUCAAAGAUGUAUGUUCUAGCGGCGGACGGGUGAGUAACGCGUGAGCAACCUGUCCCUUACAGGGGGAUAACACAGCGAAAGUUGUACUAAUACCGCAUAAGACCACGGGAUGACAUCGUCCAGGGGUCAAAGGAGCAAUCCGGUAAGGGGUGGGCUCGCGUCCGAUUAGAUAGUUGGUGAGGUAACGGCCCACCAAGUCGACGAUCGGUAGCCGACCUGAGAGGGUGAUCGGCCACAUUGGGACUGAGACACGGCCCAAACUCCUACGGGAGGCAGCAGUGGGGAAUAUUGGGCAAUGGGGGGAGCCCCCUGACCCAGCAACGCCGCGUGAGGGAAGAAGGUUUUCGGAUCGUAAACCUCUGUCCCAGGUGAAGAGAGAGAGACGGUAGCCUGGGAGGAAGCCCCGGCUAACUACGUGCCAGCCGCGGC
rnacentral:rRNA from 1 species